GUGCCUAACACAUGCAAGUCGAGCGAAUGAAGUUCCUUCGGGAACGGAUUUAGCGGCGGACGGGUGAGUAACACGUGGGCAACCUGCCUCAUAGAGGGGAAUAGCCUUCCGAAAGGAAGAUUAAUACCGCAUAGGAUUGUAGUACCGCAUGGUACAGCAAUUAAAGGAGCAAUCCGCUAUGAGAUGGGCCCGCGGCGCAUUAGCUAGUUGGUGAGGUAACGGCUCACCAAGGCGACGAUGCGUAGCCGACCUGAGAGGGUGAUCGGCCACAUUGGGACUGAGACACGGCCCAUACUCCUACGGGAGGCAGCAGUGGGGAAUACUGCAGAAUGGGGGGAAACCCUGAUGCAGCAACGCCGCGUGAGUGAUGACGGCCUUCGGGUUGUAAAGCUCUGUCUUCAGGGACGAUAAUGACGGUACCUGAGGAGGAAGCUCCGGCUAACUACGUGCCAGCAGCCGCGGUAAUACGUAGGGAGCGAGCGUUGUCCGGAAUUACUGGGUGUAAAGGGAGCGUAGGCGGGAAGGCAAGUUGAAUGUCAAAUCUACCGGCUUAACCGGUAGCCGCGUUCAAAACUGUUUUUCUUGAGUGAAGUAGAGGCAGGCGGAAUUCCUAGUGUAGCGGUGAAAUGCGUAGAUAUUAGGAGGAACACCAGUGGCGAAGGCGGCCUGCUGGGCUUUUACUGACGCUGAGGCUCGAAAGCGUGGGGAGCAAACAGGAUUAGAUACCCUGGUAGUCCACGCCGUAAACGAAGAAAUACUAGGGGUGGGGGGAACUGACCCCUUCCCGUGCCGCAGUUAACACAAUAAGUAUUCCCCCGGGGGAGUACGGCCGCAAGGCUAAAACUCAAAGGAAUUGACGGGGGCCCGCACAAGCGGAGGAACAUGUGGUUUAAUUCGAUGAUACGCGAGGAACCUUACCCGGGCUUGAAAUGCAUCUGACCGAAGUGGAAACACUUUUUCUAGCAAUAGCAGAUGUGUAGGUGCUGCAUGGUUGUCGUCAGCUCGUGCCGUGAGGUGUCGGCUUAAGUGCCAUAACGAGCGCAACCCUUGCCGUUAGUUGCCAUCAGGUUAUGCUGGGAACUCUAGCGGGACUGCCACCGUAAGGUGUGAGGAAGGUGGGGAUGACGUCAAAUCAGCACGGCCCUUAUGUCCGGGGCGACACACGUGUUACAAUGGGCGGUACAGAGGGAAGCUACCCGGUGACGGGAUGCUAAUCUUUAAAACCGUUCUCAGUUCGGAUCGGAGUCUGUAACUCGACUCUGUGAAGCUGGAUUCGCUAGUAAUCGCGCAUCAGCCAUGGCGCGGUGAAUACGUUCCCGGGC
rnacentral:rRNA from 1 species